GACUCCUCUAAUUUCUACCAUCUGAUUCAGAGCUAACUUCUGAGCGAGAGAGCGAGAGAGCGAGAGAGAGUCCAGAUGAAAGAGAAACCUAGAUCUGGUCGCUCGCGUCUCUGGACGAGAUUCGAGAAUGGAGCCCUAUGGCAAAAUACGAACCAUAAAUCGUUGCCAUUGCCUUGUCCGGAGCUGGAUCCGAACAAGGCAAUGAUUUAGGGUUUCGGAUGGUGCAGAGAGAAUGAUGAGAUCGUUCGUCUCUGCGUCGACGAUGAAGAUCACAACAGUCCACAACGUAGCUAUUUCGCGCGGAUUAGGAUCUGUGUCAGAUUACGGUGACCAGGAGCUAGUGAAUCUAGAGGUGAUUAACCAUUUAGUUACCACAGUGAAGCCAGAGGGAAAAUGAAGGCAAAGGAUGAGAGUCAAAUGGGAAAGAGGGUUGGACCACACGGCCGGCAUGGAUUUUUCCAAGUUUUUUUUAAUCUCUUUAAGUGGAUUUGGUUUUUUUUAAAUUUGCAGUCGAUAUUUUAAUUUCUUUUAAAAUGGCCAGAUUACAUGUUAGGAGUGGAACCCUGGAUAACUGAAUGGUUGGCCCAAUCAGGCAUAAAAAUCGACUGCGUACAUAGAUAAAAAGCCCGGAGCGAACGUUCCAGCUUGCUCUUAAAUCAACCGCUUGGGCAAAUGGCUUUACUUUGACUUUUAGAUUAUAGGCGCAUUACAAAAUUUGAGAUUCAGUAAGAUAGACUGAUCAAGUGUUUCAAUAUCAUCAAACUUGUUAGUAUUGUUGGUGGCGAAUUCAUGGCUACAAACGUAAUUGGGCGGCAAUCUCAGAUUUAUGGGCACGGAAUCAAUUGUGCGAUUAAGACAA